rnacentral:rRNA from 1 species
AUUGAACGCUGGCGGCAUGCCUUACACAUGCAAGUCGAACGGCAGCACGGGGGCAACCCUGGUGGCGAGUGGCGAACGGGUGAGUAAUACAUCGGAACGUGCCCUGAAGUGGGGGGAUAACGUAGCGAAAGUUACGCUAAUACCGCAUAUUCUGUGAGCAGGAAAGCAGGGGAUCGCAAGACCUUGUGCUUUAGGAGCGGCCGAUGUCGGAUUAGCUAGUUGGUGAGGUAAAGGCUCACCAAGGCGACGAUCCGUAGCGGGUCUGAGAGGAUGAUCCGCCACACUGGGACUGAGACACGGCCCAGACUCCUACGGGAGGCAGCAGUGGGGAAUUUUGGACAAUGGGCGCAAGCCUGAUCCAGCCAUGCCGCGUGAGUGAAGAAGGCC